GGGCCCGUAGCUCAGGCUGGUAGAGCGACUGGCUCUUAGCCAGUAGGUCGUGGGUUCGAAUCCCCCCGGGCCCG
rnacentral:tRNA from 1 species